GUGCCAGCAGCCGCGGUAAUACAGAGGUGCCAAGCGUUAGGCGGAAUCACUGGGCUUAAAGCGCGCGUAGGCGGAUGUUUAAGUGUCUUGUGAAAUCCCACGGCUCAACCGUGGAACUGCUGGGCAUACUGGACAUCUCGAGGCACUCAGGGGCGAGCGGAACAAGUGGUGGAGCGGUGAAAUGCGUAGAUAUCACUUGGAACGCCAAUGGUGAAGACAGCUCGCUGGGGGUGUCCUGACGCUGAGGCGCGAAAGCCAGGGGAGCGAACGGGAUUAGAUACCCCGGUAGUCC
rnacentral:rRNA from 1 species